rnacentral:lncRNA from 1 species
UUCAACACAUAUGGAUAAAAAAGGGAGCAAAUUAAUCAUGGGAAAAAUUGAAUCAAAGCAUACUUAAAUGAAAAAUAAAAAGGAAUAAAUAAUAAAGUUUUUUUUUGGCUUUUUUAUAUAAAAUUAAAAACUAAAUAACAAAAUAAAUAUUAUUUUUAAAUAUGAAAAUAUAGAAAAUAAAAUAAAUAAAUAAAAUAUUUUUUUGGAUUUUCAAUAUUGAUAUAAUAAAUAAAUAAAAAGGAAAAAAUAUUAAAAGAAAUAAAAAAAAGGAAAAGAGAAAAAGGGAGGAAAAUGGUGUUUGGGAGGGAUCAAACCCAUGACCUAUAUGUCACAAAU